rnacentral:rRNA from 1 species
UACGUAGGUGGCAAGCGUUGUCCGGAUUUACUGGGCGUAAAGAGCGCGCAGGCGGUCGGAUAAGUCGAAUGUGAAAGCCCCCGGCUCAACUGGGGAGGGUCAUUCGAUACUGUUCGACUCGAAGGCAGGAGAGGGUAGUGGAAUUCCCGGUGUAGUGGUGAAAUGCGUAGAUAUCGGGAGGAACACCAGUGGCGAAGGCGACUACCUGGCCUGUUCUUGACGCUGAGGCGCGAAAGCUAGGGUAGCAAACGGG